GACGAACGCUGGCGGCGUGCUUAACACAUGCAAGUCGAACGAUGAAGCCUAGCUUGCUAGGUGGAUUAGUGGCGAACGGGUGAGUAAUACGUGAGUAACCUACCUUUAACUCUGGGAUAAGCCUGGGAAACUGGGUCUAAUACCGGAUACGACCAAUCUCCGCAUGGGGUGUUGGUGGAAAGCGUUAUGUAGUGGUUAUAGAUGGGCUCACGGCCUAUCAGCUUGUUGGUGAGGUAACGGCUCACCAAGGCGACGACGGGUAGCCGGCCUGAGAGGGUGACCGGCCACACUGGGACUGAGACACGGCCCAGACUCCUACGGGAGGCGGCAGUGGGGAAUAUUGCACAAUGGGCGCAAGCCUGAUGCAGCGACGCCGCGUGAGGGAUGACGGCCUUCGGGUUGUAAACCUCUGUUAGCAGGGAAGAAGAGAAAUUGACAGUACCUGCAGAGAAAGCGCCGGCUAACUACGUG
rnacentral:rRNA from 1 species